rnacentral:miRNA from 5 species
UGCACAGCAAGUGUAGAUAGGC